rnacentral:rRNA from 1 species
CCCUUAGAUGUUCUGGGCCGCACGCACGCUACACUGACGAAUGCAACGAGCUUAUAACCUUGGCCGAAAGGUCUGGGUAAUCUCCAAAUUUCGUCGUGAUGGGGAUAGAUUAUUGCAAUUAUUAAUCUUCAACGAGGAAUGCCUAGUAAGCGCAAGUCAUCAGCUUGCGUUGAUUACGUCCCUGCCCUUUGUACACACCGCCCGUCGCUCCUACCGAUUGAAUGGUCCGGUGAAGCGCUCGGACCGCGGCCUCUUGACGGUUCGCUGUCGAUUGGCUGUGGGAAGUUCGUUAAACCUUAUCAUUUAGAGGAAGGAGAAGUCGUAACA